CGCAGCCUGCCUGGGGGCGGGCGCUACACAAAACACUUGUUUUCCCCAGCGGUGGGCGCCGUCCGUCUUCGAGUCUGAUUGGCUACUUGAGGCCGAGAAGGCGGGCAUGAAGCGCUAUCGGCUUCGCUGAUUGGCUGGAAUGGGCAUUGGCGCCGUCGGAGGGCUGAAGCGGCGGCCUGCAGGUGACACAGCACCACCUCAGGCUGUAACAGCCCGCCACCGGGUGAGGCCUCUCAGGAUGGGAGGCCGGUGCUCUCCGUCAGAAACGGGCUUACCGUACCAGGAAAAGCUAAAGGAUGACCUGGGGGUACCUGAAGAGGAUGAGGAGCUCGAGGGUUUCAGGCGGGAGGCGGCAGUCCUGCGUGACAAGCUGUGGGAGGCUCUCAGUCGUACAUCUGGCAACAAAAGGCAGUCCAGUUCUUUGAUUGACCUCACCUCGGACAGUACAUGGGAUCAGCCAAAGCCUCACUUGAUUCCUAAAUCCCGCUUGAGGCCAAAAAGCGCUUCAUCUCCCUGGAUUCCUUCCAUCACCAUCCCUCAGCCCUUCAAAAUGACACUGCGGGAAGCUCACCAAAAGUCCCAGUUGAUGAAGUCCUACACGUUUCUUGAACUAGACAAACAGAGAGACAAAAGGCAAAGCCAGGACGAAGCUGAAUGUCAGAAACAAUUUCGGGCGCAGCCUGUACCUGCCCAUGUGUUUCUGCCCCUUUAUCAGGAAAUAAUGGAGCAGAAUGAGAUUCGCAGGCAAAUAGCAACACAGAAAAGAAAGGAGCUGCUACUUGCAACCCAGCGGCCCUUCAGUUUCUUGGAGAAGGAGGAGAAAAAGAAAGAAGCUAUCAGACAAAAGUUCCUGGCAGCAGCAACCACAAAUGAGAGCUCCAAACUGAAGCAAGUCAGUAAAAAAGUGCCUAAAUCUACUUAUGACUCACUGCUUGGAGAUAAACUCAAAGAAGCUGAACUCUACAGAGAAAUCCGCAUUCAAAUGAGAGCCAAGGAUUUGCUUGAGAGCUCCGUAGCUCUUAUAGAUACUAACAACUGUCGGAGGGAGCCUCAGUGCCGAACUGCCACUAAAACUAAACAGGAAAGACUUGGCUUCUUGCAGGACAAAAGUUUCAGCUUCAAGCCAAGGAUUAAUCCAACAAUACCGGAUUUUGAAGGACUUUACUGGGCAUUUCAGAGGGAAGCAGUAAGGAGACAAGAAAUCAAAGAGGCAACUCGUAAUAAGCCUUUCAAGCUAAGAACCUCCAAUCUCCAUGGCAGGCAGAGGCAGGCUAAUGAAAAGAUAAAGGAUUCUCAGCAACUUUCCAAGGUUUCAGUGCAAAAAGGUCAUUCUCUGACUGGACUUUCCUCUCUCUCUUCCAACACCCUUCCAGUGCAUAUUACAGAUGCCACUAGAAAAAGGGAAUCUGCUCUUAAAUACUCCCAAGAUAGCAAAAAGGAAGGGAACAAAGAAGGAAUUUAUUGGCUGGAGAAACAGAAAAAGAAAUGCCAAGCUAUCCAAAAGUCAGUGAACAGCCGAGCAAAAGCCCUUGAUCCACACAGAAGUCUGGAGGAAACACACAAGGAGAAGUCAAAACAGAACUGGCAAAAUAUGAGAGCAAGAACAAAAGAAUACAGAAAGGAGCUGGAAGAAAUGCAGCUGCGAGUCAAGAACAGACCAUACCUCUUUGAACAGGUCACCAAGGUGCUCUCCGUUUAUUGAGCUCUGCAGUUGCUAGUGCUUACAAAUUACAAGCAAACGUGCUUCUGGAAUUUCUCACAACUCCUUUUUGCACAUAUUCUCAAAUUGAGUGUCAGAGUCAGGACUGAGACACAAGUAUGUUAGUCUGGUAAGACUGGAACACUGUAGAAGCAGGAGAGCAGAAGAAGGAAGAAAAAGGACAGAAGCAGGAAAAGCAUGAUGCUCGUCAAGGAGCAGAGCGUCGCUACAGACACACCCUGCAGCAGGUUGGCCUAAGCGAAGAAUUUGUAAAGAAAAAAGGGAAAGGUGCCACUGACUUGCUGGAAGAAGAAUCUGAUGUUCACAGAGCACCCAAGCCUCAGCGUGAAAAGGACAACUGUACUGUACAGGAAGGAGAACCUCAAGAGGAACAGAGUGGAAAGCAAGUGGCAACAUGAGAUCUAGCAAAAGAAUCCAUCGAUCAUCUCUUGAUUUUUUUUAAAUUCAAGAUUCUCUGGGUUAAUCCUCAGAAGCUUUCUGAUUGAGACUGACACCUAAGAAUUGCUCUGGAGGAAGCGAGAUGUGAGAACUUAGUAAAGGAAAGGAAGAGCAACUGUUGUUUAGAGCAUGUCUUGUCCAACCCAGCAAACCCUGCAACCUUCCUUAGUCUUCACAAGUGCUCCCAGUGUGAGCCAUUUAUCUUUCUUUAACGGGAAACAAGAUAAAAAGGUUGAAGCACAGUCUUUGGAUAAAAGUAGAUAUGAAAGAUUGAAGCGGUGCAUCCUCUAGUGUCAGCUCCUUGUGUUGAUGCCACAGAAGCACACAGAAAGAGGAGAAUGUCUUUCAGUGCACUAAACCUUUGUUUACACAUAUCUGCGGUAGAAUGCUUUUAAACAAGGUAUUUCUGAGAAAAUAAAAAUUGCAGGAGUUGACCUACCUUGGCAGAAGGCGGGCAGAAGACUCAGAGGGAAGUCCUUCUCUGGUGUUAACUCUUCAGUCACUUGUUACCAGCACCGCUCCUUCCAUUAGGAAGAAGCAAUAGUAUAGGAGAUAUUUUAAUAAAGACUUAAUUAUUUGAAACUGUUUUAACAUCUUACCAAUUUAGGUCAUUAAUUUGGCCUGAAAAACAACCAAAAUUAUGAAGAAGGUUGUAAUUAAACAAUGCAUCAUGUAGGAUUGCUGGUGUCCUAAUUCUACGAUUACUGUGAUAACAAAGAUGGACUUUGGUGGAAGAAAGAUCAGGCAUUACCUGUCAAGCAUGUUGCACUCAAAUCCCUGGGGCAUCUUAAAUGGUCUAGUUCACACUUUGGUGGUCUUUCUUUAUCUGACAGUAGUUACAAUCUCAAAAAUACAAACCCUUGCCACCUGGAAUGUUUUCUGAUAAUUAUUAUAUCAAAGCAAUUUGAGAUUAAAAGAUUUUUAAAUGGCUA